rnacentral:lncRNA from 1 species
UCCAUACACUUGGAUCUUUUGCACGUCCGAGGGCUUGGUGAUUGCAGGUAACCCCUUCAGUAUGGCUAGCGAUUCCGCAAGCUUGUCCGAUGGUUGGAUCUGAGCAAGUCGCCAAAAGUCGCCAUAGAAUAGAGCAAGCGAUGAAAGGGUAAUCACAGCCUUAUUGACCCAGGAGUAGCUUGACAGCUCAUGAAAGAUCGAGAUCAUCGUUUCACGCACAUUUUUGGUGUCUAAUGCCUUGCAUGUGAUCUGAUAACAUGAUGUUGAUAAUGUUGAUAAAUGGGAUUAGUUAUUACCAAGCUCAAAACAGUAAAAAAUAGCCAAAGCAACAGCAAUUCUUCACUUAACGAAAAUAAAUUGUUAGAAGGGACAUAGUAACAUACCUCACAAGCCACUUCGUUGAUUGCGGCUAGGGGUGGAUUGAAGCCUUCUUUUGGUGGCUUGAAUGCAGGGCCUCCAGAUCCUUGAGUGCCCUAUAGUGUAUGCAUAUGUAAGACUUAUUGUUAGAGAGGGAGAGAGGAAGGGAGGUACUAAUUAAACGAAAUUAUGAGAUUUUUUUUUUAACUGCUAAACUAAGGAAAUCCACAGUUAUAUCAUAGAAAUUAUGUAUAGAGAUAUGAUCAGAAUUUAUAUCUAAAAAAUCGUCAGUUUUUAUUAAAAAAGUCACUAGUGAUGAAGGUAUAUAUUAAGGUGCAAUUGUUUCGUGUAAAAUUUAAAAAACUUUAAACAUUUUAAGAAUGAUUUUUGCCUUAUUAUUAUCAUUGAUAAUAAUAAAAUUUUAUCUGAUUGAUUUUGUAAGUGUUAUAGAUUCCUCAAUUUUCAGAAAAAGCUUAUUAAAUCAUACUAAACAAAAGAAUUCUAAAGGUAAAACUAAAAGAAUGAUUGUCCAAACCCUACGGAAAUAGGGAAUAAAUGAACGCCCUUAACAAAAUACAGCUAUAAUAAAUUAAAUGAGUAACAACUUAUCAUGAGGCCAAUUUAAUCCCUUAUGCCAUAUUGACUAUCGUGUCGUUGAAUGAAGAAUGAAUAGAUCAAUAAAAAGCCUCACAAAAAUUGACUGCAAGUGCUAGUGGAUUGCUUCCUGGUUAAGAAAAGUGAUUUUUUUAGCGAAUAUCAUUUAACUUUACGGUUAGAAGAUUCUCUAGCCAUUCGACCUUUUGCAACAUAGUACACAUAAAUGGAAGAGCGGAUGCGAAACAUGAAAAUUCGAUAUAUUUUUAGGGGGAUGAUAAUUGAUGGCUGUCUUUUCUCUUGAGCCAUCAAUAGUUCUACUUAGGGCGCGUUUGGUAACGUUUUUGUUCCUGGGAAAAAAUAUAAAUUUUAUUUUAUUUUAUUUCUGGGAAUAACUUUUAAGCAUUUUAAACCUUUUGAUAACUAUAUAAAAUUUUAAUUAUCGAAAUAGAAUUGUGUUUGGCAUUGUCCUCAAAAUUGCUACUUCAAAUAAUUUUUUUUUUAAUUUUUAGAUAAUUUUAUUAUUAUUAUUAUUAAUUUUAAUUUCUUUCUCCCCUUCUUCUUCUUCAAGGUUGCUGGCAACAUCACUAGAGUGUCCCCGGCCCUCGGUGAGGUCGUGCCUCAUCAGUUGAGCCUCGCCGACAGUUAGGCAAGGCUCAGCUGAGCUUUGGUUGGGUGAGUGGCCUCGCCAGUGGCUGGAAGAGGCCUAGCAAGGCUCGCCUGGCCACCAGCGAGGCUCGGCCUCACUUGAUUUGAUGAGGCUAAGCCUUGCUUGCUGGUGGCUAGGCGAGCCUCCGGUGAGCUUGUCGGACCUUGUCCUAGUCUGGCGAGCUAUGGCGAGCCUCCAACGAGCUCGCCAGACUAGUCACCGGCGAUUGGCGACAGUGAGCGGCAUACGGUGGAUGGCGGCAAGAGCAAUUGAAGAAGAAGAAAGAGGGAAUAAGAACAAGAAAAAAGAAAAGAAAAGAGAGAAAAUAAGUGCUUGAUUCUAAAAUUGUUCCCAGAAAUAAAUAAUCAACUUUUUUUUUAAUUCUCGAUUCUGUUUCAAAUCAAUUUCCGAGAACAAAAAAAGAAAAAUUUGUUUUCAAUAACAAAAUUUUCACCAAACGCAUUUUUAUUCGAAAUCUACUCCUACAUACAAAAGAAUUGAAAUUUUCACUACCGGGCAAAUUAAUAAAUAGACUCUUAUAAAAAUAAGAUUAAUUAAUUCUGUCCGAUGCAAUUUUCAGAUCAAUUGCUUUAUCUUUCUCGUUUGUCCUUGGCCAUGUCAAAAGAUAAAAAAAGCAAGUAGAAAAAGGGCCAAGCGGGGUGGACAACCAACGUGCUUUUGCCCAUAGCUAAAUAAUGCAUGUCUAUCAUAUCGAUUGCUUUCCGACCAAAAAAAAAAAAAUCAUAUCGAUUGCUUUAUCUUUAUCUUUUCAUCCUGGCGAAGUCAAGGCAGAAGCAAGUACAGCAUGAUCUAGAGAGAGAGAGAGAGAGAGAGGGAGACCGGGAGAGAUGUCACGUCAGUCCCUUCUGUCCUUGUUAGAUUGGAUAGUCUUCAUCAUAAUUGUACGUGGCAUAACUGUACUAGUAAAAUAUUUGGGUCCCCACCCAAAAGUUCUAGGUCCAUUAUUGUUGAGGAAUUUCGCCUUUAUUAGAUAAAAUAAGGAACAAAUGGACAAAGGUACAAUAAAAUUUCUAAUAUCUAAUAAAGUAUGUGGUAAGUGUGGAAGAUUGACUUAUGUUAUACACCAUACGCACAUUAUACCUCAACCUCUAGCUGAGAAUUCUUUUUAUCAAUAUUUUCACGUUACGACAAAUAUCGGAGUGGAUAAAAGACAUCCGAUGUAGAGUUAUUUUCGGCCAAUCAAAUGCAGUGUUGGGUUUGUUUGCGAAAGAUGGUCAAAUUCACUACCGCUUACACCAUAAAUGCACCCUUUUGAUAGAUUGUUAAGCUUACUUAGUAAAACCAAUUUAGACUGUAUCUCUCACACGCCUCCACACAUAUGGCAUUAUUUCAAGUUUUACCUUAGGGUUGAUGACGGAGUCGGCGAUUGUGGCAGUUCCACGGAGGGCGUUGUCUACGAGAAGGAAGAGAGACUGGACGUCAACGUCUCCUUCGUCGGGAGCGUGAGUGUCCACCAUCUCCUUCAUGAACUUCUCGUCGUCGAAGAUGGCAAGCAGGCUGUUCAACAUGCUCUGGUCAACCUUGCUCCUCUCCCUCCGGAGAAUCAGGCCGAGGGUCUUGCUCGCCAUGAUCUCGAAUCUCAAAGAAAUAGAGCAAGAGGAGAGAGGCUAGGCUUUUGAGUGUUUAGAAACUAGAGGAGGAAGAGAGUGUGUGGGCGGUGUGGUGGGGUGAGGGCAGGCUUGCUCUAUUUAUAGCCGUGGAGGCAAGGAAAGAGACUAGAGAUAGAAAAGAUUAAAUUUGAAAAAAUGUUUUUAGGUGAACGAAAAACUAUCCAAAAGAGACCAUCGGCCAUUGCAGCGUGGAUGGUAGAUCUUUUGUCCUCCACCGAGGAGGUCAAGGUUCGAAGCCCCUGCGAAACAGGAAGGCUGAAGCGCUGUGUGGUGACUUGAGCAUGGCGUCGGGGUGGUGGUUUCUCUGCUAGUGAUACCUGGGGGUUUACGUGGCGGCUGUCGGCCAAAGCGAUUCCUCCAGCAUUAAAAAAAAAAAAAAACUAUAUAAGGUCUCGAUAGAUGAACUUGUCACUACAACCCUAACGAGGUGUAAGUGUGUAAAUAAGUCAAGCAUUGAACUCGGCACCGCCUUAGAUGAACCAAAGACUUUUGAGAUUGAGAUGUGUUCCAUAUUCAAAAUUGGAACCGUUUCUUCAUGUCCGUUGGAAUUAAUUUUGUAUGACUUGACCAACCACAUUACCAGCACAAGUUUCCAUUGUGAAGUAAUUCUUUUAUAGGUCAAUACCGCAAAAAAUUCCAAAGUAGUAUAUAUGUGACAAAUUUACCGAAACUAUUUUUUUUAUUAUUAAAAACUCUAAAUGGGUACAUUUCUCUUAGUGAUGAAUUUACCACUCAUCUCUACCAAAUUUAUGCUCAUCCAAUGAUGUAAGUGGUUUUUUGGUAGUUAAAAAAUUAGUUUGGGAUAAAUUUAUCACAAGUAUACAAGUUUAGAGAUUUUCAUGAUAUUAACCAUUUAGUUUUCAAUAUAUAUAGACUAUUUUAAGUAUGUAAAUUUCGAUACCAUCCAAGAAUUGUUGCAUUAACAUGCUCUAGUGAAAUUUCAUGUAAUCAUAAUUUGUAUGCUGUAAUAAUUCGAUAUACCAAUAAAUUUAUUAGAAUCAAUAAAUGCUGAGUAUUGGAAAUAAUAAUACUGAUUAUAAUUUAAUUUCAACAGAUUUAAAUUAAUUUACAAUUUUAUUUUUUUAUUUUUAGAAAUACGAUAUUCGUAGAAGUAUGCUUAUCAUUAUUAUUGUAUUCUAAGAUACUUCUCGGAUUUUUAGUUGCUCAUGAAUAACACGCAACAUGCACUUUGGAGCAACGGAUGAAGUAAAAGCAAUUUAUGACCAAACUCGCUCCCUACAAAGAAUUUUUAAAUCUCUAAGGUAAAGAAGUAAGGAGUUAUAUUGCAGAAUAAUUGCAAGAUGAAUUAUUAUUAUAAGUCCAAUCACUGUGGUUACUGAAUUAUUGAGUACAAAAUUCUAAAAAAGUCUGCACAAAAUGUAUAUUGUUGAGUUAUGUUUUCAAUUUUGAUUUCAAACUAGAAUGUAUUUUCUGAUAAGUGUUCAUCUAAUUACUGUGGUUUGAUUUCUCAUUUUACACGUUUUAACUAAAUCACCCAAUUUCUGAAAUCCUCAUUCAUUAGCUAAAUAUUGUCAUAGUUAUGUGAAUAAAUGAGUUUACAACUAUAACUUUGUCUAUGUGUUUGUUUAUCUUUAGAUGUAUUAGCCCAUGUUUGCACAUGAUAUUUUAUAUUAUUUAUUAGCAUUUCUUUAGUGACGGAAAUUUUUUUUUAUAGUAAUGGGAGAUGUUUUCAUAGAAUAAUGAUUUCUAGUAAUCAUUGGGAAGCCUUACCAGCUUUUAUAUGUUAUAAAACGGGAGGGAAAAUAAAAGAGAAAUUGGUUGAGAAAAUGGAGGGCGCGAUUCACGUGUCUGAUAGGACAAAGUGCUUUGAUUUUGCAUCGUCUCUUUUUGGUGGUAGGGCAAAGGUGCUUCAACUCUCAACAUCCCACCCCCCACGCCAGAAUAAUUCAUUAGCACUCCUUUAACCAGGGAAUUUCUUGGAUGCUCGAUUUGGUUAAUAAUUUUAUCAAGUAUCUUCAUAUAUAUAAUAUCAACGAUAUUGAAAGAUUUAACAAGUAAUAGUAAAGUCAAGUUUGACUCGAUAACUUACGAAUCAAACCACACACUAAUAAAUUCAAUUUAAUUUUGUAGUUUUGCACUCCUCCAAGUAAAAAAUUUAAAAUAAGUUGGUAGACACACCUAAAUUUGAAUACUUCCAGUAUUUAUUUAAACCCUAACCAGCUAAAUAGUUUGUCAUCUACCAAAUACUUUCACUUAUAGAAUGUACAACUUGCGAUUAUGUACUCAGUUUCACUAAUCUAGCAUUCAAUCAGCAAGUACACUGUGGAUCACUAGUAUCAUGUAUUCGCUUUCUCUUGUGCUCUUAUUUUCGGAAAUGGAUGGGUUUCAACCUCAUUUUUUUGUUUAUUAAGAAUGGGGUGUUUGGAAGUCUUUGGUCAUCUUAUUAAAUGAAUUUCACUCAAUGUCUUAUGCAUGUCAAUAGAUAAAGAGCAAGAAAUUGACACACGAAGUGACCCUCCAAAAGAAUAUGCAAGCAAGAUGAUUCAUAAUCAAUUUUAAAUGUGGAAAGAUCGAAAAAGAGGUCGCUCGAUUGGCUUGACCUGCCUUUCAUUGACGACUUUUGAGAAUCAAAUCAAAUCUUGUCCCCCACUUCAUAUCAACUUAGUUUCAGUGGUACAGUGGCUCCAUCAUCAUGUGUUUUCUUAGUCACCUGCCAAGGGCAAGAACGUGAAUGCAUUUGUAAGUUUGCUAUUGACCGAUGAAAGAAACAACGCAUUAAUCUUGCACUGGUGUCAUGAGAAGGAUGAAAUGGUCAAAAUUGCAAAAAUAAAAUGUAAAAGCAAUAGACAUACCUAUAAUCAUGAAUAGAGGCAAUAAAUGGACUUUUAUGUUACUUUUUUUGUAUAACAUAAUACGACUCAUUUAAAUCUUUCUAUUCCAUCAAUCUUUUAUAACAACACACAAAUCAGUUUGAUCCUAUGAUUUCACUCACCGAACGAGAGACAUAGUCUCAAAAAUUAUUCUUAGUUAAUGAAGUUACAAUUUGAGAAAAAUAUCCACCAAUCCAAAUCAAAUGCUAGACCCCUUUUCCUUUGGUUCCGAUAAGACUAGACCAUCAAUUGGUGUCGAGAAAAGUAUGUUGAGGGACGUCACCUAAUCACUCAAGCCAUUACGUCAGCACAAAACGGACAAAAAAUGUAGUAAAUUCUUAGAAUUACUUUAUGUCGUCGUGUUUCACAUUGAAAUGAAAAAUUAUGUUGUUUCUCUUUCGACGUUGAUGGGGGGACCAGUUUCUUUAUGUUAAUAAAGAGACUUUGGAGGGAUCAAGGAGAAAUCCAAGGCUUGUUAUUUUAUUGCCUCGAUAGGCGGAAAAAACUGGGCCCAAUUUGGACGUGUUGAAAUACAAACUGACGAGCACUCAUAAAAAUCUCUUAGAUUCGAGACAAUAUUUCUCUACUUUAUUAGAAAAAUACAUAUCAUGAACCUUCAUUGUUUAUCCUCAUGGAAAACUCUACUCUUACUUAUUUAUUUUUAUUUUUAUGAUUAAUACUAGUAAAAAUUCCAAAUCAGUAUCCAACCCAUAUCUAUUGUCCGACAUAUAUAUGUACCAUACAUAUUAAUUUUAUAAUUUGACGUAAAAAAAUUGAUGUGUUUAAUAUAAAAAAAAAAAUAAUGAAGACGUUACACAAAAUGUGGCUUCAAUGGAAAUAUAUGAAUUAGUGGAUGAAUCUAACCAACAUAAAAUAUUAAAAUAGUUGUGGCAAAAGAAGAAGUGCUCAACAAGUUUUAUGUUUUUCCAGCCUUAAAGCCUUCCAAAAUAAAGAAAACAACAAUGGCUAAGACUAAAGACACUCAAGUUUGCACGUUCAACAUUAAUAAAUUGGACAAAAUCGUUGAGUUAUUUUUGAAAGAUGGCCCAAAUAAUUAAUUGAAGGCCAAGUAAUUUCAAGAAAGGAAGACUUAGUAAACAAAUUGCAAGUGAUGCCAUUCAUUGAGCCAUACGUCAAUUAUUUGUCCCUAAAAAUAAUUCAAGAGGUAAUUGGGUAGCAAGCAAUCAAAUUUACUGAUGAUAAUGGGGUAUAUGAUGACUCUUAAUUAUCUAACUUAAAAGAAAUGAAUGGUUGAUAAAUCAUUCAAUUUUUUUAUGAGAAAAUGUCCAAAUGUUAUAGUCGACAAUUUGGUCGAUAGACACCGUUAAGGUAGUGAAAUUGAUGCAACCAUCGAGUAGUGAAAUUGAUGUAACCGUUUAGUAAUAGAGUCAUGUAGUCAUUCAUGUAACCGAUGAGUGAAGAAGUCUUGAUAAUCAUUUGUAACAGUCGAUUGCGAGCUAUAAAAUCUCACACUUUACUCUUUGUAAAGGACUAGAGUGCAAUUAGUGUAACUAUAUCUUCUAGGUACAUAUAGGAAUUCGAAUUAUACCACAGAAUAUUCCGUUGGGUGGAUCCGUCCGAGCCCCAUUUUGCAUUGAACCAUUGGAUGAGGGACACGUUCGGCGAAAAAGAGCAAAUCACGUGGAUCUGUUUCCAUAUCGGGACGUACCAUGACAGUGAUCGCAGUACGCUGUUUGUCUCCAAACGUGCUCCACGCAUCAACCGUUUUGGACGUACCAUUCGGACAAAUUUGUAGUGAGAAACCGAGAAGAGACCUCCAUUUGCCUUUGUGGACCCAAAAAACACGGCCUUGAGUAGCCAGCUGAAAGAGACAAUGAAUGCAUGUCUCUUCGUCGAUAAUCCUAACACGUGCUAAAAGAGAGGGGAAUCUAUCAUGGUUAAUAACGAACGAUGACGUUUGACGAUCAAGUUGGUGAUGAUGUUCGUAGCGCCUGUCAAUGGUCCCCUAAUUUCCCAGAGAUUAUUAGCAACAAACCCCUUGUGCCGCUACGUUACCUUGGAUGAUACGGCACAUUCUAAUCUUUCAGAUAACACUCAAGCCAUCACCGUCAGCGCAAAACGGACGAAUAUGCAGUGAAUUCUCGGAGACAUUUGAUGUUUGUCGUGUUUCAAAUAGAAAUCGAAAGAUUAUGUUUGUUUCUCUUUGCUGUUGAUGGGGAGAACCAGCUUCGAUAAUUGCAGUAGAUUGGGAACGAGUGACCAAAACGGAGACACGUUUCAUCUGGAUAGAUAAAUAGAAGUUGGAGGGGACCAUCGAGGAGAUCUAGGGUUUUUUUUUUUUUUUUUUUAAUUUAUAGGAUCGGUAGGCGAAUAAAAAUGGCCCAGAUUGAGCGUGUUCAGAUAGCACUAAUAAAAAUCUCUCAGAUUCGAGACAGUAUCUUUCUACUUUAUUAGAAACUUCAACGUUCAUCCCCGUGAAAAACCCUACUCUUACUUUCUUUUUAUGGUUAGUAUUUAUUUAAAAUGCCAAAUGGCAUUUCCAGUAUAGAUAGAUUUCCACCCACCGAACAUAGUGUGUGUGCUAUCAAAAGAUGAUCACAAACUAGUGACAUUGAAUGAUAUAUAUAACACAUAGAUUUUCUAUGUUGAAUUUGUCAUUUUUCAUAUCAUCUGUCACGUGUGUUAACACGGAUACAUUUUGAUAGGAUAUAGAAUGGAAUGACAUGGGUGGUAGAUUUGGGUCAGGGUACCAAUUUGGGCCCUUUGUUAUACAAAAAUUAAUUUGAGGUAGAUGUGUCAUAAAGUUAUCAAUUUCAAAUGUUUUGUAAGACGAAAAUCAAUAUAAGAUAAACAUGUCAUGAGGAUAGUGUGUAGAAGUGGUGGCAUGUCUAGGGAGCCACCACCUUGUCGUGGUGCUCCUUGACCGCGGCAUCAAAGAUCUUGCCAUCCAAUUAUUCCUGGAUCUCAUACCCCAUUACGUUUCUUCUUGUCUUCACAGGCUUUAAAUUUCUGGACAACUUGGAGAUAUUCCUCCUAGUUUUCACUCCCUUCAGCCCUAUUCAUUAACUCGGUGAGUCUUCCUUGUAGAGAGAGAAUCUCACAGGAUGUGGUUAUGAAUUUUUUGCUACUCCAUCGCCUUAGUACAUCAGUUACCUUCCUUGUUUUGCCCACAAUAUCUAGUUGGUAGCCUUCCUCAGCUCUACAGGCUCUUUGGAUCACUUUUUUUAUGUACAGAGUUUUCUACCAAGAAAGCUUCAAAUAUGAAUUUCUUCUUUUUUCCUCACCCCAAUUGCAUCUGAUUGCAGAAAAAUCAGACGAUUUGAACCAAUUGCUGGAGAUGCAUAUGCCUUUGCAUUAGGGAAUGAGACUCUCCAAUCCAUGUUGCAAAGAACCAUAUCAAGUCUUUUUUUUUUUGACAAGUUUAGGGCCUUCGUGGUUUUUAGUCCAUGUGUAAGUGCACAUUCGCUCUCUAUAUCCAUCAAUGAACAAAAAUUCAAGAAAUCCCAUAAUGCAACCAUUCUAUAACUAUCUAUUUCACGUUUUCUGACUUUUUCACACUAAUAGAAUACUUCAUUGAAAUCUCCAAUACAUAGCCAUGGGAGACAAAUCAAGACAUGAAUAGACCGUAAUGUUCGCCAUAAUUUAACCUUUCUUGGUAAUUAGUAGAAGCAUGAGGGAAAGAAAUUUUCAUGAUAACUCCCUAUUUUGAUCAUUGCAUCUAACGUCAAUGAGUUCUUCGGUACUUGUUUCUAAAUUCACCUUAACUUGAGGUCGCUCAAGGAAAUCAAGUAACAUUUUCCUCUCCUUUUUGAGAAUACUAUAAUCGUAGAAGUAUGUUUAACAUUAAUAUUGUAUUCUAAAAUACUUAUCGGAUUUUUUAGUUACUUCAAUCUUUUUAAAUAAGACAAAUAAUCCACUAAAGAAUUCCAUGACUACUCUGGAGCGACGGAUGAAUAAAAAGCAAAUUGAUGACCGUCGCGAUCUAAAUUUUCAGGGGCAAUCCUAAAGUUUAGGUUAAUGGAUUACUAAGUCCGAAAACUUGGCACGGACCCUCCCAAGUCCUACUAAUCGCGACUUGAUGUUAAGAAAUUUAAACAUGCAAUUAUAUUCAAUUUGGAGCCGCCACUAAUCAAUUAGGGUUGAUUAGAAACCCAAAUAAAGUAUGGAAGAAUACUUUAUUUUUACGAACCAGAGAUUCAAUGAGUCCGGAGACAUGAUUACGCUAAAUUAGUCUAACGCCCUUUCGGUACAUUUUAUUUUAAUUUCAAAAAUAUUUUGCAGGUAAUGUUGAUUAAUUUUAACCUAAAUUACUAACAUGCAAAUUGUGGUCAUGCGGGUGCACAAUCAAUAACAUUCAAUAAAAAAUGUUAAUAAAAAUGCAUGCUCUAAACAUGAUUUCUAAAUGACAAGACACCUAAUUUUUCUUUUUUUUCUUUUUUUUUUUAAAAUGUUAAUUAUAUGCAAUCUUAAUCUAAAUUUAAUAUGCAUAGAUUUAUUUUAAAUGACAUGCGAGAUGCAAUUCAUAUGGUAUGACUUAAACUUAUCAUUAUAUGUAUGCAAUUUAAUUUAUAUAAUUCUAAAUAUGCAUGUGCUACGUGAUAUGGGAUGAAUGACAUGGUAAAUCUAUAUGCAUGUUCUUUUUAUGAUUUUUUUUAAUGAUUUUUAUACAUAUAUGCAACCUACACUAAAUAAUGAUGAUAUGAAAUGAGAUUAAUUAUGAAUUAACCUAUUAACUAACCAAGGAAAUGAUCUUUAGUUUUUUUGAUCUUUUAAUGACAUAAUUUUUUUUAUUGAAAAUAAAGUAACUUAAUGGUGCAAUGAUCAUCUUUUAACAUUUUCCUUUUUAUUAAAAAAUAAACUAUAACUCACAUGGCAUGCAUAACAUUUUUUUUGUUUUACUAAAUGAAAAUUGAAUUAAUCUAAAACUAAUUAGACUAACUAAAGUGAAUGAUAUUCUAAUUUAUUUUAGGAAUCAAUUUAACUUAAACUAUAUUUUAUCCUAAAAGUUAUAUAAAAAAUCAAGACAUGCUAACAUUAUUUAAAAUUAGCCCUAACAAAAAUCACCCAUCUAAAAGUAUAAUCUAAAAAUUAUAAUCCUAUAAAUGCAAUUCUAAUUUUACUAACCCUAAAAAUACAGUCCUAAUUUACUAAACCUAAAUGCUCUAAUGCAAUAUUUACUUUUUGAUUUUUUUAAUCUUUCCAAACAAGUAAUUAUUUUAAAAGAAUGAAGAUAAUAAUUAAAAUAAUCGAAAAAAUAAUCCGUUGUCUCACAGAUUAAAUUAACAAUUAUUUUAACUCUAUAAUGAUUUAACAAUUGAAAUGCUAUCAAAAUUCCUAAAAAUUAAAGUAAUUAAAAAAAUAACCCGAUGUUUUACGGGUCAAAUUAAUAAUUACCAUAAUUUGGGAUAAAAUACAUGCAAUUAAUGCCUACAAGAUUUAUAAAAGAAAAGCACAUCUCAAUAUUCUAAAUUGAAUAAUAAUAACAAAAUAAAUAAAAUAAGAUAAAAGUUAGUGAAAAGUAAGAAUAAAAAUUAAAAAUUAAACCACCUAAGGGAAGGUGAAAAAACAGCAACGUGGUAAUCCGCCGAAGGUCCGGCGAGGGGCGUCGGCGGGCGUCGGAGCUCUGGCGAGGGUGGACCGGCGGCGUUAGCAACCUGGCAGUAGGGGUACGGCAGCAAUUGGCGUCACUCGGAGAGGAGGGUGGCCCGGAUCGGCGUCGAGCCGUGGGUGUCGCGGCGUCAAGGGAGGCCUGGUGCUCGGACGAAAGUGGGUCACGGCUAGGGGACAUGGUUCGCGAGCUGCGGAGCGUCGGGUCGCCCGAAGCAGGAGCGGCGGUGCUGGUGCAGUGGGCCGUGGAGCGCUUCGUGGGUCCGAACGGUGGUGCGGCUGCAGGUGGAGCAGAGAGCAGAUCUCCGGUGAAGCUAGGUAAUGCUGAUGCGGCGAGAUAGAGCAGGGAACCGGCGACUGGGGGGGCGUCGGUGCAGAAGAAACGCCGGUGCGGUGGCAGGCGUGGAAUCGGUGACUGGAGGCGUCGCUGGCGACGAUCGACUCGGGCGGAUCAACGGUGGCUUCGCGAACAGGGACACUGCGAGGCGUCGGCUCGGCGUUCGGUGGGGCGCAGACAGCAGCGGCAGAAGAGAUCGGGCAACAGGGGAGCCCGGAACAUAGCAGGGGGCAGCCGCGGCUUCGCUGGUCUCGUGGGUUGGGCGGAAACGAAGCUGAGGCGUUGCUGGUGCUCGGGCGCAGCUGCUGGCGUCACGGGAGGAAAGCGCUGAAGGUCGACGGGGCGGCGCCUGGUUGCUGGUGGGCCGGCGAGGAGAUCGGCGGCUGGUAGAACGGCGAGGAGCUCGGCAGAAAAGGUGCUCGACGAGCAGAAGCUUUAUUUUUUUUUCUUUCUUUUCUCCCUCUCUCCUCACGUCUCCAUCACUCUGCUCUCUCUCUCUCUCUCUCUGUUGCUGUCAACAGAGAAGGGAAAAAGCUUAUGCUCUUCUUUCUGCAGAACCUUUUCAGCUUUUGACUUUUCCUUCACAAAAACUCAUUUCUUUGGUGAAUGUUUUGAAACCGAAUGGAAAGCCCCCUUCACACUUUUUCUUUCUCUUCAGUUUUCUAUGUUUUUCUUCGACGAAAGACCAAGAGAAGCCCCCCCUGAACGACAGAAUUUUUGCUCUGAAUUUUUUCGAAUUUCUUCCCCCCGGAACAAAACAGAAGAAGCCCCCUAUUUAUAAAGUGAAAGCUCGAAUUCAUUUCGCAGGUGAAGAUUUUCUCUCAACCUUUCAACAACAAAGUGGCUCCAAAAUCUCAUGGUUGAGUUUUUGAAUUCAAAAUUUUUUUUUUCAAAAUUUCCCUUUAAUCAAAUAUUAUAUUUUAUUUUUUAAAAAUUAAAUUUAAAUAGGUGUCAACAAUGACCAAACUCGCUCCCUCCGAGUCAUGAAAUCUUUGCAUGAGUAGUAUUUUAUGUUCUAUAUUGGAAAAUUCUUAAAGCAGGGUUAUGGGUAUACAAAGCGAUGUGCGUAUUAAUUAGGAAAUAGAAACUUCAUCCACUCGAUUUAACAAACCCGAUUUCUCGUAAGAUCCGGACUCAAAAUAGAAAAGGACAUCAGACUCUUUUGUGUAUAAAGUAAACUGGAACUUGGCUCUCUCUGAUGAUAUAGAAAAGGAAGGACAAGUUGCUCUCUCUCUCGAUCAUAACGUCCGUAAGUUUUUAAUCUCCCACAAGUUAAGUUAAUUAUAACCCUUUUUUUUUUCCUGGAAACCAUUUGGAGACUUGUUGCUCGCUUAUGAUUCUGACAUCUUAGAUUCCUGAAAUUUCUUGAUCAGAGAGAGUUUCUUUUUUUUUGGUUCCUGAUCUCCGGAUGUCUAAUGUAUAAGAGAACAUAUGAUUGGUUGACGAAUUACGAAUUCAAACUGAGUCGAUGGAUUUAGAGGAUAGCCGACUCCAAUUUCAUUGGUGAAUUCAAAUGAAGUUGAUAACAUUAUCAAAUGUUUACCCUUGCACAAUACUGACAAUACUCAAAGAUUUGACUUUAAAUGGUAACGUCAAGCGUGAGUUGAUAGCUUAUAAACCAAACUGCACGUUGGUAAAUUCGAUUUAAACUGUGAAUGCUUUUGUAUGUUCGCCAUUCACCAUUUAAAGAAACGGCAUUUCAAUCAUGCGUUGGGGUCAUAAGAAUAUCUGAAUUUUUUUUCGGUUUAGAUUACUUUUGAUAGACGGCCACAAAUAGAUCUAUCCACUUAACUUCAUCAGCAAAAUGGUCGUGAUAGACAGAAAAGAUUAUUCCGAGUGAAUGGCGUCGUAACUUGAGCAUAAUAUCGAUUCAUCAAUUAACACCAUCGAAUAGGUUAAGGGACGUCACCAAAUCACGCAAGCCAUUCCGCCAGUACAGGACGGACAAAUUCAUGUAGUGAAGUCUCGGAAACAUUUGGUUUCAAAUUGAAGAGAAAAAUCAACGUUGUCCCUCUUUCGACGUUGAUGGGGAGACCACCUUCGAUGGCUGCCGUAGGAUGAGCACGAGCGACCGGUAAGGCAACGCGUGUGAUCUGGAUAAUGCAACAAAAAAUCAACCACGUUUUCUCUACUUUCCCCCCCUCUCAACUCCCAUCAUGUCCAUUUUCGAAGCGCAAGGAUGAUUCGCUCUUAUACAAGUACAUAUACAAAAAUACACAACAUUUUUUUUUUAAAAAUUCACACGGUAUCCUUCAUUAGCUUCAAUGAGAGGCGCAUUGGAAGACAAAGUGCCUACUUUCACAUUAUUGAAAAAAUUAUCCAAAAAGUCGUAAAUCUAUUUUUAAUUUUACCAUUUUUUUGGCAUAAAUUUUAUCAAUUGAGUUUUAAAAUUUUUUCACGUUUUGCCAAUUAAGUCAAUCCGAUUAAUUUUGAUUGGAAAUUGAUGACGUGAACAAUUUUAAAUAAUAUUUUAAUAUUUUUUGAAAGUUUUUUUUAUUCUUUUUUCUUGUGACCCUCGUUUAGUUUGGGCGAGGGCCAUGCUGUUCUCGCCUAUGGCCGAUGAGGGAGUGAAGGCCCUUGCCACAGGGGAGGGCAUGCCAAAUGGCAAGGAUCGUAGCCCUUGUUCAGACUAGGCAAGUCAGUCGGCGAACUCGCCCACCUCAGGUUAGAAAAAAGAAAAAAAGAAAAAAAAAGAGAAAAUAAAAUAACAAUAAUUUAGGAAAAAAAUAUCAAAUGUUAUUAAAAAUUAUUCACUUCAACUCUGGUCGUGCCACGUAGGACAGCCAACGUCCAUGUUAUUGAUGUUAGGCCAAAAUUGGUCGGAUGAACUUAUUUGGCAAAAUGUGAAAAUGUUUAGGACUUAAUUGGUAAAAUUGAAAGAUUUAUGAUUGAAUUGGUAAAAGUGCAAUAUGUUUAGAACUUUUUGAAUUAUUUUACCCACAUGGGUCUAUUGUUACAUUGGAAUAUUAUGUUUUCCUUGUAAAUUAGAAUAAAUACAUACAUAAAAGUAAAGGAAAAAUGAAAAAACAGCUAUUGUUCAGACAACUUUGUUAUGUCAACCUGAGACGGACCGACGACUUCCAUUGUCUUUUGUCAACCUAAAACACAGCGUGAGUCACGAGAUGAUAAGUGCAUUUUUUGGCAGUAUCUUGAACAGGUGCUGAAAGAGGAAGGGAAUCUAUCGUGACUCUCUUUCGUCUUCUAGAGUGACUAAGAACGAGCGAUAACCAUCACAAUGAUGUGAGCAGUAGUGUCUUCGACUGGCUCCCUUAUCUACAGGAGAUUAUUUGCGAAGGGCCUUGAAUCGCGAGGCUUCCUGGCUUUGGGCGUUGUAAUCUGCUGACCUAUACCGAGUGGGCACAUUGUUUUGCUUUUAUCAAGUCAAAAGGCGCCUUUUGGAACUAGCCAGAGGGUGAAAAUGCAAUAUAUGAAAAGAUAAUUUCUCAUGAAUAUGGACAAAAAAAUAAUAAUUCGGAAAUUCAAAAAUUUAAGUGUGGCCUAGCAAAGUAGCAAAGUGUCCAGAUUUAUCAAUAAUCAUAAAAAGAAUUCCUAAUUGAAUCUACAUAUAAAACUUACACGUCUACAAAGUUUCGAAUAUAAACUCAAAUUUCGAAUGUUAUAAAAAAAAUUAAUAUAUAGAAGUUAGAAGUCUAGAGAGUCGCACACUUUAUUGAAAAUGUAUGCUUAUUGCGCCUUAGAUUGGCAAUAAUUGGAAUUAUGUAGCCUGUUGAGUUUGAAGUUUAUAAUUCAAGAGACAUUGAUCAGCAUUCAACAUUCUCAAGAUGCAUUUUUGAAAUAGAUUGAGAAAAUGCAUUUUGACCAUUCCAUGCAUAUUCUUCGAAAAAAGUAAGCAUUCAUAUGGUUUUUUCGAGAUCUCUCCAAGUUUUUCUUUAGAAUUAUAUAUUCAAAUUUGUCGAUUCAAUUAAUCCAUAUAGAUACAUGUAUACUGUCCCGCUUUGGUGCAUAAAUGCAAGUUUCAUCCAUAAAGUGACGGGCAUGGCCUCUAAACAGCAACGGAGCCAGAAUUCUAUUAAAGGGGGAGUGAAAAUCUAUAUGUACUCUCCUUGAAUCUUUAAUUAAUAUUUUCUUUUGUUACAAGUAGAAAAUAACAUCACGCAAUAGAUUGAUACAAAGAACAGGUAAUAAAAUAUUUUUUAAUCUUUUAUUGAGAUUGGCAUAAUGAAGAAUACCGUUGACAAAAAUUAUAAGUAGUUAUUUCAAGUUUACUUCGGGAAGUUUCAUCUUUAUAAAGAUUCCAAAACUUAUAACUUUAGUAUUUUGUUAGGUUGAAACCUGAAUUUUAUUAGAGAUCAUGAGUCUUUACUAGUGUAAAUUGGAAAUGAUUAUUUUAAGAAAGAAAUGUCUCGUUUCUAUCGUCAAUCACUAAAGGUGAACGAGGAAUUUAAUGUUUCAGGCCAAUAAAUAAUUAAAAUAGUUAAAAACUUGCGGAUAUAAAAAUGAAUGGCCACGCCUUAACAUGAAAUUUAAGAGAUAGGCCAGAAGAUAUUCCUAGCACAAAAGAAAUUUAAUAAUUAGUAAUUUUGAGUUUUACUUGUGGGGGCUCAAGAGAGGCCGGAGCCCCUUGUUGUCCCUCUCUAACUCCACGGCUACCUUACAAGUUACUUUGUGUGGAAGAAACUGUGAUAUAAAUAUUCUAUCUGCCACAUUGAAACUGCACAUUUAACUUCCAAAAUUAAACUCGUAAGUAUGCGAUCUCUUUAACUUAAUGUUAAUCCAUAUAACUGAUCAACUUAAACAAAGUAGUAUCAUUUCAUUGAAAUUCUGUCGCUAAGUAUAGGUACGUAUCGACCCACAUGUUGUUGGCAAAACUAUUUUGGAGAUAUAUGAACAUUGUGAUCUUCACAGGUGCCAAUUGACAUAUACUCAAUAUUCAUCUCUCCAUCAAAUAUCUUGAAGGAGGCUAAUUUGACCCGCUUGUGCAUAGACACAUGUUAACUACUUCUUGAAAUCUAUGAAAAUUAAUCUUUUGGCUUUUGAUUAAUUUUCAUGGAUUCACACAAAUAGACCUGUGCACUUAACUUCAUUCUUAAAAUGGCCACCAUAGACUCAAAGAUUAUACCAAGUGAUUGAGGAUAAAUUGUCAAAAAAAAAAACCUAAACCAAUCGUAUUUUUUAUCAAUUUAAUUAUAAACAUUUUAAUUUUGCCAAUUCAGUUAUAAGCCUUUUCAUAAUUUGCUAAUUGAGUCAAUAUAGCUAAUUUUGGUUUGAACUCGUUGACGUGGAUGUCGGUCGUCUCUCAUGACACAACAAGUAUUGACAUGGAUUUGUUUUAAUAAUUAUUUAAUAUUUUUUGAAUUUACAUAAUAUCCAUCCAGAGCAAUCAACACCAUCGAAUAAGGGGGCGUUUGUUUUCGUUUCUUUUUUUUGUUCCUAGGAACAAAAAAGGAACAGAAACGCGUUUGGUUGCGUUUUUGUUCCAAAAUUAUUUUUUUGUUCCCAGAAACACAUUUGGAACAGAAACAAGAAACAAAAAAAGAUUGUUUCUUGUUUCUGAAACAAAUUUUAGAAACACUUUUCUUCUUCUUUUUUCUUUCUUUUUUCUUUGGCCGGUCGUUGGCCUCGGCCAGGGCUGGCCACCGGCCGUCGGGGGCCGGCGUACUCACCGGAGCGUCGCCGACCCUUGGCGAAGCUCGGGCUCGCCUUGGCUGGGCGAGCUCGCCCAGAUCCGGUGAGCCCGACCUCGCCUAGCGGCUGGCGAGGCUCGGCGUCGCCGGGCCACCGCUAAGUCGGCUCCUGGCGGUGGCCCGGUGAGGCCUCGCCUCGCCUCGCCCAGCCAGAGCCUGACCUCGCAUCGGGCUGGGCGAGCUCGAUCUCACCCAUAUCCGGCAAGGCCGAGCUCGCCUAGCAGCCGGCGAGGCUUGACCCUGAGCCUCGACAGCCGCGUCAGCCUCGCCCGACGACGGCCAGGCUAGGCCUAGCCUGGGGUGGGCGAGCCUCAGCUCGGCUUGGCCAGGCUGUCGGUCAUCUCCGGCCGGCCGGCCACUGUGGGCGAUGCCGGCCACCGGACCUGGGAAAAAAAAAGAAAAAAGGAAAAAAGAAAUAAGAAAAAAGAAAAAAGGAAAAAUAAAUAAGAAAAUAAGAAAGAAAAUAUAAAAAAUAUUAAAAAAUAAAAUAAAUAAAAGAAAUUAUACAAAUUUACCAAACGUGUUUCUAUUUAUUUUUUAUUCCCGGAACAAGUUUACCAAACGCGUUUUUUUGUUUAAAAAUUGUUCUCCGGAACAGAAACAUUUUUUUCUAUUUCUGUUCCCUGGAACAAUUUUUAAACAGAAAUGUUAUCAAAGGCGCUCUAAGCGUCCAGAAAGAUGUGUCGAGGGACGUCACUAAUAUCACACAAGCCAUCACGUCAGCACGAGGUGGACAAAGGAAGGGGAAGAUCAAUGCGGUCCCACUUUCGACGUGGAUGGGGAGAACCACCUCCAAUGACUGACGACGGGAUGAGAACGAACCAACCGGGAGACGCAACACAUGUUGUCUGGACGAUGGCCACACAGAAAUCAACCACCUAUGCUCCAAAACCUCGAGAGCGGACCACUCGAUGGAAUUUUCGCGUUUGUAAAAUAGGAUGUGUUCAAAUACCGACGGAUAAGCAGCGCUAGAAUCGGAGCCAAUGGCUCCAUUCAUCUUGAAAAAAAGUAAAUAAUAAUUUGAAAAAUAAUUUCCUAACUUGUAUUAUCUAUAAAAAUGAACCAACAAUAAAUAUUACAAAAAUAUUAAACUUUAAUUGUUUUAGAUAAUAAAAAUAUUUUUCAUUAACUAAUUAUUUUAUACCAUACUAAUAAUCAUUUUUAGGAAAAUGUUUUCGAGAUCGUUCAUUUUUUGCUAAGUAAAUGGAGCCAAUAUCUUUCUAUUUAUUUUUUAUCAAAAAAGUAUAUAUCGAUUUUCGUUUACAAAAUUUUACCAUGAAAAUUUCAUUGUUCAUCCUCAUGAAAAACUCUAGUCUUUUUUUUUUUUUUUUAAAACUAAUCAGCCAUCGAGUUCCUAGUUUACUCUACUUUCUCCCUCUCUCAGCUACCAUCAUGUCCAUUUCCUACGCGCACGGACGACACGCUCUUGUACAAAUAUAUAUACAAAAAUAUACAUCAUUUUCUUUUUAAUUUACAUGGAAUCUGUGAAAGCACAAUAUCACGAUAUCCAUAAUUAGAACAAGAACAUAAAUAAUAGAGUAGAGAAAUUAACGCAUUUAUUUUGGACCAUUGUUCUUGAUGUGGAAAAAUGAUGAUCCAAGUGCAAAUUCUUCUUUUCUAUUUCUCUCUGUAUUAUUGACUUAAUGAGACGGCCCCCCUCACCCUUAGUGCUUAGUAAACGCUCAAUGUGUGUUAAGGGUUAAAGGAGAGAUUUGAGCACUAUUUAUAGAGUUUUCAGCCAAGCUGUCUCGUUACGGGUUGAGCUCAACUCAACCCACACUAGCUAGUUUUAUAUUAGGCUAAUCAAGAAACCUUCUAUUUUACCUUGGACUAAUUUCAUAAAAUGAUAAAUUACAAUGUCAAUUAAUGUAUCUCAUAUUAUGAAAACUUUUACAUUAAUCACUUGCUUCAAUGAGAGUCACGUUGGAAGACAAGUGCUUUCACAUUGGUCUGUUAUUGCAUUGGGAUGUCAUGUUGUCCUCGUAAAUUAAUAUAAUUACAUACACAAAAGUAAAAAAAAAAAAAGUAUUAUUCGGACAACUUUGUUGUGUGAACCUGAGAUAGAGCUCCAUUGCCUUUGUCAAUCUAAAAAUGCAGCGUGAGUCACGAGAUGAUAAGGGCAUUCUCUAUCAAUAUCUCGACGGGUGCUAAAAGAGAGGGAAUCUAUCGUGACUCUUCAAUCUUCUGGUCGGCUGGUGGCCGAACACUAAUGUAGGAAUUUUUUUUUUCAACUUUUUUUAUUAAUUUUUUAUUUUCUUUUUCUUUUCCUUUCUCCCUUCUUCCUCUUUGGUUUGUCCCCGCAGUGGCCAAUGAGCCUCCAGCAAGGCUCGUUGGCCAUUGGAUGAGGGUUGCGGCCCUUGCCUAGGACUGUGGGCAAGGUGGAUUUGCCUGAAUCUAGGUGAAGCCAGCCUCGCCCUGGCCUUGCGGGCGAGGGCAGCUUCUCCCAUAGCUCCUUUAUUGUGGACAUGGACCAGCAGAGAGAUGCAUAGGUUCCCUAAUGUGCGCCAUGGCAACACUCAAACUUGACAAUGUUCCUCAUCAUGCGGGGACAAACCGGACACUUCACGUCCUCCGGGAUGUAGCCCACCAUGUUCGGGAUGCAGAAGUGGUGGCACCUCGGAAGGACGAAGACCCGCUCGCGGUGCUCCUUGAAGGCCGCGUCGAACGUCUUCUCGUUCCCUUUGACCUGCUUCUUCCAAGUGGUCUCGUACUGGGACAAGACCUUGGUGACGUCGAUUAUCGAGUCGUUGAUCACAACCUGCGACCCCCUCGUGAGGACCGCGAACCCACCAUCCUUUUUGAAGUUGGUGUAGAGGCAGAGGAUGUCCUGCAUGAGGGGUUCGUGCACAUCCGCUUUGGUUUGCAGUUUCGACAGCAUAAGGCUUUCGAGGUGGCUCCAGAAGAGCUGAUUUUUGGUGACAUUGUAGGCGGCGAUGGGGACGCCAUCUUCGAUGAUCUUCUUCACUAGCUCCUCAAUUUCGUAGAUUGCCUUGUUGUCUUCAGCUCCAUAAAGGAGGAUGUACCUUUGAGACUUGAUCUGAUCAGUGAUAAUCAAUCGGAUGAGUAAUCAAUGAAAUAAGUUUUUAAGGAUGGGUCCUCAUAUCUCUAUAAUACAAGCAAACGAUCAUGCUCUAGUUUCAAGUUUUCCACAAAUUUUCUGCAAAGCCUACCUCUAAAUUAAGAUGGGUCGUAUAUGUUAGCAGAAAUAAUACCCUCAUUUUUUUAUCUAAUAAAUCUUCCAAUUGAUUCUAAAUUUAAAUAAAAAUCUUUCUAACCCUCUAUCAAUUAAUUAAGAUCGCUUUAUAAUUUAACUCAGAGCACAGUUUUCUUCGUUAAGCGAAAGGGUAAAAGGAAAGUGAAAAAGAAUAAGAAAACAUAGAACUACUUACAGCUUCAUUUAUCUUAGGAAUGGCCAUGUCAGUCAACAAGAGCUCAAACCAGCUGAUGCCAGGCUUGCUCCAUAGGCUUGCUCCCACUAAUUCAGUGAAAGGGAAAGCAUCCCAUCCCCAAAGCCUCAUCAUGCUCAUGGCAUUUUUGUUUGAGACUCUUCCUUGGGGAUCCAACACAGUCACGAUGGUCUCUUGCCAAUACUACCACUUCUCCUUCAUGAUCUUGAUGGCCACCUUGUUGAUAAGUGUUGGGUAGCGCACUGAGUACCACGGCAUUUGCGACUAUAGAUUCUUGAACUGGUUGUUCAAAUCCUUGCAUUCUUGCUCGAUGAUCGGGACCCACACAAUCUCGUAGCGCUCCUCAUGGAACUUGCGCUCGCUGUAGAUCUUGAUGAGGAUGGCAGGUUGUGAGAGGUCAACUUUAGGUCGGAAAUCAGCAGCAUCACAUUUAUCCUCCGCAGGGACUUGACCUUAUCCUGUAUGUAGGGGAACGAUGAAGGAGGAUCAACAUUUCACUCCGUUGGUUGCUACCACUAGAGUCAACCACACAAAUUUACGCGAGGGCCUAAACUAGGUAUAUAAGUGCCACUUAGGUGAGAACAAAUGUCAUGUCUUGAUUUCAGCAAAUUAGUUGAAAAAAAAAUCUUUGACAAGGACGAGUUUACGACCAUAGCAUCAUUGCGGUACUCAACUAGGAAUACAAAGUUUGAUAAGGGUUGAGCUUCCCCAACUUACUGUUCACGGUUUCUCUCUAGAGGGCAAUUUGGUGACUGUUCCUGCUCUCAAGUUCGUUGCGGCUCCCGGAAGCUGGUGCCGACAAUUUGGCUUGAUUUUUUGUGUAGUAGCUCGCCUUCCCACCUGCUUCAUCCUCACUGAACAGAUUGUGCUGGUACGCUUUGCUUCUGCUUCAAUAGUCCAUUCGCUUUCGGGUUAGGGUUUCCCCUUCGCGAUUCCCGGUUCCCAUGGCUGCGUUCUUUAGUGCGAUCACCAAUUCGACAAUGCCCUCCUGGCGUCGAAAUCUACUUAUGGUCGAAGCCGGCUAAGGCUCUCUCUCUCUCCUCGUAAGCCUUCUUCCCCUCUUAAGGCCCUUGCGACAGGCUCGAUGGAGGCCCAUCUGGCUGCUUCCAAGGUCCCACAGGACAUGGGUGUUAGUCGUGGAUGGAGCUGCGCGCGACCCACCUCUAGACGAGUCCAGCCCAAUGAUCAGCAAGGGAAGGGCUCGAAACCCCCAUCAGCCCGAACAUGGGUAAGUGUUGCGAAUCUAGCUUCGAAGGGCUAUGAUUUGUCCUAUGUUCCACCCACAUUUGUUGAUAACAAGCUUGUUAUUACAUUGUUAGAGGAAAUUCUAGAGGCCAUAGACCCUAAGUGGCACGAGUGUCUUGUGGGAUACUUUGUAGGGAAAAAACUACCAUUUAAGCUGACCGAAUCAUCUUUAAAACAGGCGUGGAGGCAGAAUUUGGCUGAGGUGAUGGCUAAUGAGCAAGGUUUUUAUUUCUUCCAUAUACCUGACCAAGAGCUUAGAAGGAAGAUCCUUAAUGAGGGACCGCUUACAAUAGAUAGGGUCCCGUUAAUCCUCCAGCAGUGGCAGCCCUUUUUGGAGCUAAGGAAGGAUAACCAAACUUUCGUUCCAGUUUGUAUUAGACUCAAGGAUAUCCCCUUUGCUAUGUGGUCGGCGCCAGGGAUUAGCGUUAUUGCUAGUGCGGUGGGCAAGCCUCUUUAUGUCGACCUUAGAACCGAACAUAUGAAAAUGAUAUCCUUCGCAAGGGUUUGUGUUGAAAUCUUUGCUUUGCAACCUCGUUGCAAUUCUGUGGAUGUUGUUCUCAACGGGGAAACCCAUAUGGCGACCAUUGAGUACGAAUGGAGGCCAGUGUCGUGCCCAAGAUGCGGUACUUUUGGCCAUAGAUGUGCGGUCCCAGCAACUCCGACUGUUCGUGAAGAAGCUUCUUUUCAAGAUCCUACCUGUGUGAGCCUUGUUGCCCGUGAGAAGGCACUUGCCUCUGCUCCGCCGUUGUCUAUUGGUCUAGGAGCCUCAGAGAUAUCUUGGAAGUAGGUAGGAGAAAGGCAGAAGAAACAGUCUUUGGAGGGGAAGGUGCAGUCUGAGAUUCCUAGGGAGGCGUCUAUUGUCUCGUCAAGAGAGCCCUCUCCGGGGGCAAGGAUGGUUAGUGUAUCUCAAUCUACCCUGAAGGGUCAGAGUACUCUUUUGAAGGCUGGUGAUGCUUCCUCUCCUCCUGGUCCAACUAGUAAGGGUAGCAAGCAGGGAUCUUCAUCUUCUGCUUCAGUCGCAUGCUCAGAAGAAGAUCUGGAGAAUUUUGACGUCACUAGCUAGGUGAAUAGCUCGGAUAAAGAAGAUCAUGGGGUGGUGUGUCCUCCUUUCCCGUCUCUGCACCCUGCUAGAAAUAAGGACAAUACUUAGCAAGUUAAACCGCCGGAUCCUUCCCCUGCUCCACCUUCUCCUAUUGUCCCUAAGUCAGGGACUAAUCGUCAAAGGACGAGCAAACUGAGGUAACUCUAUCUCUGCCUCGUUCUCCUUUUUUGGGUAGUAGAUAUGUACAUAGGCUUUUGGAAUGUUACGGGUAUGGUGGACCCCUUAAGACAAGCUGAGGUGCAUAGCUUUGUCUAUUCAAAUAACCUCUGUUUUGUGGGUCUUUUGGAGACUAAACUACUGGAGGCUCUUUUUGCGACUAUUUCUACUAGUCUUUUGUCUAGUUGGAGUUGGUUGAACAAUUAUGAGUACUCCCAUAGAGGAAGAAUCUGGGUUGGUUGGAAUCCAAUGGAGGUGGAGUUUGAUGUUUCUUUGGCCAAUGCCCAGGCUAUUCACGACAGGCUCAAGUAUCUCAACUUUGGCGAGGUUUGUGAUAUCUCAGUUAUCUAUGCUGAUCAUACCUUUAUGACUCGGCAUCCUCUGUGGGCGGAGCUCGUUAGCACUAGCUCCCUCAAGCAGGAUACGACUUGGCUAGUUGCAGGCGAUUUUAAUGCCAUCAGAGACCCGUCCGACUGUGUGGGUAGUUCGGAUAUUUGGUUACCCUCGUUUGAUGAGUUUGGCCAGUGUCUAGCGGAGCUAGAAGACCUUAGGUAUGUUGGUUAUCAAUAUAAUUGGGUUGUUUCAUCUGGAGUCAACCAUAAACUAAGAAAGAUCAAUAGAAUACUUGUCAAUCACAAGUAGAGUUGUCAAAAUGGGUCAUUGACCUAUUUAUAAACUCAUAUAUGUUUAAAUGGGUCGUUAAUGGGUCAAGCUUGUUUCUCAAUGCACCCAUAAUGGGUUUUAAAAACAAAAAGACUGAGAUAUAUGGGUCUUAAAUGGGUCUGAGAGAAAACCCAUUUAAGACCCAUUUAUCAACCCAUUUACAAUUUCCCAAUGCACCUAUAUUCUCUUUUUCUUUUUUACUUUUCCUUUCUUUUCUUUUUUCUUUCUUCUUCCUCCGGUUGCUCGCAUGGCGACCGACCAAGAGCUCGCUGGAUCUAGCAAGACUCGAACUCGCCGGCGUCGGGCAAGGCUCGAGCCUCGCCGAUCUGGCGAGACUCGAACUCGUCGGCGUUGCGCGAGGCUCGAGCCUCACCAGAUCCGGCAAGGGGCGAGCUCGAGCUCGCCCGACGCCGGUGAGCCUUGAGCUCGCCAGAUCUGGCGAGGCGGAGGCCUCGUCAACAUCCAGCGAGGGGCGAGCUCGAGCUCGCCUGAUGCCGACGAGCCUUGACCUUGUAGGAUCUAGCGAGGUGGAGGCUUCGCCAACGUUCGGGGAGGCUUGAGGCUCGCUUGUGGUUGGUCGCCGGCCAUCGUUGUGGUCGGCGGCCGGCAAAAGAAGAAGAAGAAGAAGAAGAAGAAGAAGAAGAAGAAGAAGAAGAAGAAGAAGAAGAAAAAAAAAUAAAAUUAUAUUUAAAAAAUAAAAAAAUAAUUAAAAUUUGAUUUUUUAAAAUAAUUAUUUUAAAAAUUAUAAAAAUUGUCCAUUAAAUUUGUGUUGUAUAAAAUUAUUUUAGCAAUACUAUUUAAUAUAUAUAUAAGAAAUAAGCUUGGAAGUAUUUUAGUAAUAUAAUCUUAAAAAAAAACAUAGGAAUAAGUUUUUCUAAAUUUGGUUUAAUAUGAAAAUAUUUUAUUAAUAUGGGUUGGGUUGGGUAUGGGUCGAAAAAUUUACAUUAAGCAUAAAUAGGUCAUAAAUGAGUUAAUAGGUCAAUUUGAAUCGGAUCAUUAAUAACCCGACCUAAACCCGACUCGAGCCACCCAUUUAAUAGCUUUAAUCACAAGUGGAGCCAAGUAUUCUCCUGUUCGGAAGCUUCGUUCCUACCGCCAGGCAUCUCAGACCAUUCUCCAAUGGUUGUGAGAGUGUUGGCCCCUUUUUAGUAGAGGAAACCUUUUAAGAUUUUCAACUUUCUAAUGAAACAUCCACACUUUAGUACAAUUGUUACUUAAGUUUGGGAGCAACUGGGCACGGGAGUUCCAAUGUACAUCUUGGUUAGCAAACUCAAGAUUCUCAAGGGCCGGCUAAAGCAACUCAACAAGGAUUCUUUCUCGAAUAUCUCCACCAGGUCGGCAGAUGCUAGAGUUGCCUUACAGAUAGCUCAAUACACCCUUGAGCAGCACCCAACAAGUCUGGUGCUUGCUGAGCGAGAGAAUUGCCGGUUGAGGGAGUUCUCAACUCUUAAGGAUCAGGAAGAGUCCUUUAUGCAAAAGUCCAAGAUUAGAUGGCUAAAGGAGGGGGACCGGAACCCAAAAUUUUUCCACCAUUCGGUCAACAAGCGAGCAUUAAGAAAUAAAAUCCUUUAAGUACCGUGAUGAUGAGGGAAAUACAAUCACCGAGCUAGGCUUGGUUCGGCAGCGGUUUAUUGACCACUUUCAGGACCUCCUUGCACCGAGAGAACUACCAGGGCGUCCUUCUAUCUAGGAGAUUUGGGCAGUACUGCAACGUACCCUCAGUGAUGAACAGGUUAGAUCCUUAUUCCAACCUGUUUUUGAUCUAGAAAUCUAAGAUACUGUUUUCUAUUUGCCACGCGCUAAGGCCCUCAGACCAGAUGGCUUCAAUGCGGAAUUUUCAAUCUUAAUAGGGAGAUAGUUGGCUUGCUGGUUCUUACAGUGAUUAAAGACUUCUUCAAUUCUGGGAGGAUUCUUAGGGAGAUCAAUAAUACCAUAUUAGUGUUGGUACCUAAAGUUCCUAAUGCUUCCACAGUCUUUGACUACAAGUUGAUUGCGUGUUGCAAUACGAUUUAUAAGUGCAUUAUCAAGCUUCUGGCUAAUUGUUACUGCAGUGCUUCAGGAUGUAAUCAGCCUUGCCCAAAGUGCCUUUGUAAAGGGCAGACGAAUCCGAGAUAAUAUUCUACUCGCUCAAGAGUUAUUUAGUGGUUUCCACCUGGGGACUUAUUCGCUUAAAUAUGUUGCGAAAGUGGAUUUUGAAAAGGCUUAUGAUACUCUAGAUUGGGAUUUCUUAGAGUUUACCCUUUGUGCUUUUGGGUUUCCAGAUCACUUGAUCAAACUGAUCAUGAUUUGUUUUCACACUCCUAGAUUCUCCAUUGCCUUAAAUGGAGAGCUGCAUGGUUUCUUUGCGAGUGGACGUGAACUUCACCAAGUUGACCCCUUAUCUCCUUAUUUGUUUACUUUGGCUAUGGAGGUUUUUUUUUUUUCUAGAAUCUUUCUUCAUCAGUCCAAACAACCGAGUUUUAAAUUCUUCUAGAGGUGUAAAGACAUAGGCUUAUUUCACAUUUUCUUUGCAGAUGACGUCUUUCUCUUCUAUGAAGCAAAUGUGGCCUUGGUUUCCCUCCUCAAGGAAGGUUUGAGAAUUUUUUCAGAAUGGAGUGGGCUGAGACCCAAUCUAAACAAGAGUGAAGUUUUUCUUGCUAGGGAGACAGAGGUCAUUCGGUCCCAAACACUCCAUAUUUUUGGUUUUCAGGAGGGGAGGCUUUCGGUUUGCUAUCUUGGAGUUCCCAUCAUCACCACUAGACUUGGGAAGGCGGAUUGUAUAUUGCUUAUCAACCAUAUAACUGCAAUGGUGCAAUCUUGGACUCAAAGAUUUUUGUCCUUCGCAGGCUGGUUAUGACUUAUAAGGUUAGUCCUUCAUGCCAUGCUAGUGUGUUUACAAUUCCUAGAGCUGUGUUGGAUCGCAUUGAGCAAAUCCUAAAAUAGUUCCUUUGGAAAGGCCCUGGGCUGGGAAGAGGAGGAGCAAAAGUAUCCUGGGAUGAUGUUUGCUUUCCUAAGAAAGAAGGGGGACUAGGCAUACACAAGUUGCGGGAUUGUAAUAUUGCAUACAUGCUAAAACAUAUAUGGAUCCUAUUCAUCGACAAGGAAUCUUUUUGGUGUAAGUGGAUCCACUCGAAUUUCUUGAAGAGGAAAAAUUUUUGGGUUGUAAACAAGCCCACCAUUUGCUCGUGGACCUGGAAGAAUAUGCUCCUUCUUAGGAGGGAUUUUCGCAUUUUCUUCAAAUGGUGUAUUGGAGAUGGUUGUUUUGUCUCUCUCUGGUUUGAUUAUUGUCAUCCAAGAGGGCAUUUGAAUAUGUUAUUAUCAGACAACUACAUUUACCGGUCAGGUCUUUCUAGGAAGGCCACGAUUGCGGACCUUUUCUCUCCUAAGGGCUGUGAGGUUAGGAUUAUGGUGGAGGCGUGGGAGUUUCCCCUUCCCCCUAUAUCACAGAGGCUGGAUCGCUUCCAUUGGAUAGAGAGCAUAACUGAUACCUUCACGGUUGCGUCCACGUGGGAAACCAUUAGACCAAAAAGAGCUUUGGUCUCGUGGUACUCUCUUGUAUGGAGUAGCUCUCUCACUCUACGUUAUUAGUUCAACCUAUGGCUCAUUAUGAAGAACCGGCUUCCUACCCAGGUUCUUCUUUUGUCCUAUGGGAGGAUUGAUGACGAUUCCUGUGUUUUUGCAACUCUAGGUUGGAUUCUAGAGACCAUUUGUUUUUUUGCUGUCGCAUCACUGUAGCUCUUGCAGCCUUUUAGGCGGCUAGGUGCAACCUUCCUUGGAGGAAUGAUAUUUGGCAGCACAAUCUUCGGUGGGCCUUGAAGUACCUCACGGGCAAAGACUUCCACCAUAGCAUCGCUCAUUUCUCCUUUGGUACCCUGUGCCAUUUGAUAUGGAAAGAGAUGAACAAACAUCCUCUUUAGGGAGAAGACUUUGUUUAUUCCAGCCUUGAAGAACCACCUUAUUAGAGUUGUCAAGGACAAAGCCUUGACCUUUUCUAAUGUGGAAGACAGCACUCGUAAUAGGAGGAUGCAAUGUAGUUGGGAAAUUGACCCUUCUAUCUUCUCCCCUGUGGUGCCUGAAUAUGCCCUGUAAAUGGGAGUUGGUGGGUUCUUUAACUUAUGGGCUCUGGUACUUCUGUUGACCGGUCGACGGCUGCUCUCUUGCGUCUUUGCUUCGGUUUGGGAGAUGCUAACUCUCGGCUGCUUUGGUGGUUGGGUGUUGUUCCUUUGGAUGUGAUUGCGGGCGUAUGCUUCUGGUGGGUGUGUACUCUCUUGAUGCUGCUCUUGUUGGUGGAUGGCUAGUUCCUCCUCUGUUUUGCUACCUCUUGUGGGCUAGGUUGUUUGGUUUUUGUUUUGUAGCUAUUGUUUAGGCUACGUUGCCUUUGCUAGCUUUGUGUUUGCCUUGUCUGGCAGCUGUUGUUUGUUUUGUUGGCACCCUUCCACUUGUUCGGACUAGAUUGGCCUUACGAGUGUAAGUUUUUGGUGCCAGACUGUUUUGUAUAGUGUUGAUAAAAGCUCAAUAUAUUAUUUUUUUUUUGUACAAAAACAAAACAUAAAGUUUGACCCAAAAAAAAAAACAUAAAGGUUGUGGAAUUAGAGAGCUAAAAGAUUGAAUCGUGGUCUUCUUUGAGCCAAUGUAGAGUGGCUGACGAUCGUCCUUGAUGUAAACCAAGGCCUUGAUGAGCUCCACAUUAUCAGUAAGGGCAUUGAAUAGUCGCUGCAGCCUUUGAUACUCUCUAAUUUCCUUUGCAUUCAAAUUGAAACUGAUGAGUACGUUAGUCUAAUAUUCAAAGCAUAGAUAUCACAAAUCGAAGGAAUUAACUUUUACCCUUCUUUUUCUUGUAAUCUUCGUAAUGUCUCUUGAUAGUGUGGUAGAUCAUGUUCACUUUCCGAGCAAAGGUCGGGAGAUCGUUUCCCUUGUAGCUGAAAAUAAUAUAAAGCCCUCUUUAAGAAAAGGAAAAAAAAGAACGCUCUCCUUUAAAAUUCAAGUCUGUUGAAAUGCUUUUUAGAUGAUUCAUUACAUGUUUUCAAAAAGAAAUAAAAUAAAAGCUGUAAAACAUGUUUCUUUUUUCCCAAAAGAGACGCAAAAAAGGGGAUCGUUAGUGACUCGUACUCAUCGACGAGGCUGAUGAGGCUGGUGAACUGAAUCGAGCAAGCGAGGACAUUGAUGAUGAUUUUAUAAACGCUGGUUGGGAUGUCGUUGCUGUGGACAACUUGGGAACAUCUUUGCUGUCGUGCUCGAACUCCACAAUGCACUUAGUCAUGCUCAAUGUGGUCUUGAUCAUUUCAUUUAGAACUCCAUACACUGGAUCUCUUGCACGUCCGAGGGCUUGGUGUGGCAUCCCAAAAUUCAAGUCAUCCUCUAGAGAAAUUAAAGCCUAUAAUUAGGUAAUGAAAUUACCUAUGGUCUAUGUGUUAGCCAUUAGUUUUCUUAAGGCUAGGUGUUAUUGUGCUUGUGUUUAUGAAUUUUGAAUUUAGGACUAUAGGAUAAAUUAAUAAUCUAUGCUUGGCCAUGCACUUUAUAAAUUAAAUUUCAAUAAAUAAAAUGUCAUAAGACUUUGGCCAUGUGGAAAAUUUAAAGUUUAAAAUAUUUAUAAAAGAAAUUCAAAAAAAAAAAGGGAAAAAGAGGGUCAAAAUUCGAUUGGGCCUUAAGCCCAAGAGUGGAACUUUAAUGGGCCAAGUUGGCCGGCCCAUUGAAGCCCACAAGGGGGCUGUCGACCAGCCCAAGAGGAGGCCCAAGAGUGGCCGGCCCAAGCCCAAAAGCCCAUCUUGCAUGUGUUGUGACAAGUGGCAAGAGGGGUGGCAUGCAUUGGGCAUUGGGGAGGCAAGCUAAUGAUGAGGUUUAAGGGGUAUAAAAAGGGGAAGGAAAGGAGAGAGAAUGGCUGGUUAGCCAUUCGGCCAAGAGAGAAAGGGAGAGAGAGAGAGAACCGUGCGAGAGAGAGAGGAAGAGGGUGCGGCAGAGAGAGAGAGGAAGGAGGUGGAGCCGAGGGGUUGCCGCCGUCCGUCCGCCGUGUUUGCCGCCGUACGCCGUCGUUUUCUUCGGUCUAGAGGCAAGUGGAGUCCUCUAGCUUCUCUUGCAUGCUUAUAUGUUGUUUGUAUGUUGAAAUCUUGAGUGAUAGAUGUCAAAAACCGAAGCUUGGAUGUGUGGUGUGUGAGUAGCGUGACUGUUUUCGUUCGGAUCAUGUGAGUCAGAAACUUGUUUGAGCUUGCAUGUGUGUUUGGAGUCCGAUUUUGGCUUCGAUGUCUUCAUGGAAGUUGUAGCUAACAUCUUGUACUAUAACAUACUGAAAUUUAGUGAAAAAUUAUGGAGAUUUGAGGGGUUAAAGUCUUGUUAUACGGAGACCUCAGAUCUGGAGAGUUUUUACUAACCUCUUGCUGGAUUCAUGGUUGUAUGUUGGUUUUUGUUGAGAAUAUCACUUCUGUUUCUUCAUGAAAGUUGUAGGUAACACCUUAAAAUACAACAUACUAAAAUUUGAAGAGAAAUGAACAAGUAUAGCCUAGUAAAUCGGCUAGAUCUUGGGGACGAUGAUUCUGGUGAUGUGUUCCGAGACACCCGAGACUUCAUGGACUUAAAUGGUGACCAUACUUUGGUUAUUUGACCUAGAUCUAUUGAUGAAACUUGUAAAGGACACCUUGAUACAUAACAUAUCCAAAUUAUAGAGAAAACGAAAGAGGAUAGGUAGGUUAAAUCUCAGUAUUUCGGAGAUGUGUAUUCUGGACGAUGCGGUAAGGGUUCCAGAAGCUUCGUGAGGUUUAAUAAAAUAAUAUAUAAGGAAUCUGACUUGGAGUUCUUCAUGAAAGUUGUACGAAAAUGUCUUGGGUAUAACCCAAUAAAAUUUCAUAAUUUUUGGAGGCCAUAUGGAUAUUUUAAUUGAAUUUAUUCGGAAACCGUGCAUUCUGGUUUAAUCCGAGAAUCAUAGGAUGUUUUGGGAAAAUUGUGAGAUUUAGUAAAAAUUCAAUUUGGCCAUGAAUUUUGCAAGUAAUUAUCAUCCUAUGGGUUUGUUUAAUAAUUUCUUGGAUUUUGAUAAUUUUGGGAAUUUAUUGAUAUUAAAUAAUAAAUAAAUAAAAUAAAAUAAUAAAAUAAAAUAAAAUAAAAUAGAUUUUUAUUUGGCCAUGGAUUCAAUUUUAUUUGUGUGGCAUAUAUGUGAUAAAGUCUUGGUACAUGUAUUGAAUUGAGAUGCAUGUGUGAUAAAGUUUUGGUAUGUGUAUGACAUUUGAAUUGAGAUGCAAGUGUGAAUUCCAUGUCAAGUGUGAUUUGUUUGAUGCCAUGCCAAUUGCUAUGUUAAAUUGAGAUAAAGAAAUGGUAAAUGUGAAUGAUGGUAAAUGAGGAAAUGGUUGUGGUGGAGGAUGAUGGCCGGAAUGUAUAGAGAUACAUUACCGGAUUUCCCCGGGAGUGUCGGGAUGCCCGGUGGUAUACGGUACGUAAUUCCAGGGGAGGCCUGGUGGUAUGUCGGUACAUAAUUCCGGAAGCCCUGUCGGAGGUCUUUGCUCGAAGGGAAUGCCUAGCGAUGCCAGGAUUUGGGUGCGAGAUGCCCGGCUAGAAGGGUAAAGGCCGGAUGUCCGGUUGUAUCUUGGAUACAUGCCCGGAGGUUCCUCGUGAUGCUAGUUGGGAUGCGAGAUGCCCGGAAUGUGGGGGGCCGGAUGCCCGGUUGUAUCUUGGAUACAUGCCCGGAGGUUUUUCUCGCAUGGGAUGUGAGUGUAAAAUAUGGGAUGAAAUUGAUGAAUCGAGGAAGGGUGAUGUGGUGAUCAAAUUUAAAGAUAAAGAUGAAAAUUAACUCAUGGCAUGAUAUGGUAUGAUAUGCAUGAUGAUAUGCAUGAUGAUGGUGAUGAUAUGUGAUGUGAUAUGAUGAUCACCCAUGGUAUGAUAUGCAUGAUGAUAUGCAUGAUGAUGGUGAUGAUAUGUGAUGUGAUAUGAUGAUCACCCAUGGUAUGAUAUGCAUGAUGAUAUGUGAUGUGAUAUGAUGAUCACCCAUGGUAUGAUAUGCAUGAUGAUAUGUGAUGUGAUAUGAUGAUCACCCAUGGUAUGAUAUGCAUGAUGAUAUGCAUGAUGAUGAUGAUGUGAUAUGAUGAUCACCCAUGGUAUGAUAUGCAUGAUGAUAUGCAUGAUGNNNNNNNNNNNNNNNNNNNNNNNNNNNNNNNNNNNNNNNNNNNNNNNNNNNNNNNNNNNNNNNNNNNNNNNNNNNNNNNNNNNNNNNNNNNNNNNNNNNNGAUGAUAUGCAUGAUGAUGAUGAUAAUAUGAUAUGUGAUGAUGUCAUGAUAAGGAUGACAUGUAUGAUAUAAUGAUGCCAUGAUGAUGAUUAUGAUGAUGACAUAUGAUGAUAUGAUAUGCAUGAUGAUAAGGCAUGAUGAUGCAUGAUAGUAUUACGCAUGGCUGCAAGGUAAGUUACACCUGCAAUGCAUGUAUGAUUUGUAUGAUGCAUCGAGUUGUUAUUGGAUUCCUUUACUUGCUGAGUGGUUGUACUCACCCCUUUUGGGGAAUAACAUUUCAGAUUAGUAGAUGGUUUAAGCGGUUGGAUAUGAUCGCGAGGAGAAGGAUAGCAAAAGGAGGGAACCUUUGGACGCCGACACUGGUUGAUGGACCUUAAGCAUACGAUUGUGGGAGGAGAUGUCGGUCACCUUUUAAAGUGUAGCAUAGUAUAGAAAACUAUGGCAUUUUGAUGUACAGACUAAAUAUGUCCAUUAGCUCUAUGUAAAUAAACGUGUUCGGCUUUUACUUAUAAAUGUUUAGUAAGUGUGCAUCGUUUUCUGAAUGUAGGGAAGGGAGUUUGUUAGAUGUGCUUCUGUAUGUGAAUUGCGCAAGGGACCUAUAAAAAAAAAAGAAGUGUAAACCCCCUAUGUUGUAUGGACCCGCUGCAAUUGAAAUGGUAUCAGAGUGACAUGUUAUUAGGAAAAUAAAUGGUAAGCAAACUGUGGCGACCCAAAUCGGAUUGGGGGCCGUCGAGGGGUGUCACACUUGGUGAUUGCAGGUAACCCCUUUAGUAUGGCCAGCGAUUCCGCGAGCUUGUCCGAUGGUUGGAUCUAAGCGAGUCGCCAAAAGUCGCCAUAGAAUAGAGCAAGCGAUGAAAGAGUAAUAACAGCCUUAUUGACCCAGGAGUAGCUCGACAGCUCGUGAAAGAUCGAGAUCAUCAUUUC